rnacentral:tRNA from 1 species
UGAGCAGCACGCAGCCGAAGCCGAAGAGGGAGGAGACCAGCACCGCGAUCCGCGGCACCCCGCCCGACACCCGG